rnacentral:rRNA from 1 species
UACGUAGGGUGCGAGCGUUAAUCGGAAUUACUGGGCGUAAGCGUGCGCAGGCGGUUAUGUAAGACAGUUGUGAAAUCCCCGGGCUCAACCUGGGAACUGCAUCUGUGACUGCAUAGCUAGGGUACGGUAGAGGGGGAUGGAAUUCCGCGUGUAGCAGUGAAAUGCGUAGAUAUGCGGAGGAACACCGAUGGCGAAGGCAAUCCCUGGACCUGUACUGACGCUCAUGCACGAAAGCGUGGGGAGCAAACAGG